rnacentral:rRNA from 1 species
AACGUAGGGGGGCAAGCGUUGCCCGGAUUCUGAUUGGGCGAUGAAAGGGCGUGGUGAGGCCGGUUUGCAUAAGUCAAUCGUGGUGAAAGCCCUACGGGACUUAACCGGGGAACUGCGUCUGAUACUGGAUGGCUUGAGUUUGGGAGAGGGAGUGCGGAAUUCCAAGGUGUAGCGGUGAAAUGCGUAGAUAUCUGGAGGAACACCGGUGGCGAAGGCGGCAUCCUGGACCAACACUGACGCUGAGGGAGCGAAAGCCAGGGGAGCCAAACGGG